rnacentral:rRNA from 1 species
GACGAACGCUGGCGGCGUGCUUAACACAUGCAAGUCGAACGGUGAAGGGGCCUGCUUUUGUGGGCCCUGGAUGAGUGGCGAACGGGUGAGUAACACGUGAGUAACCUGCCCCCUUCUUCUGGAUAACCGCAUGAAAGUGUGGCUAAUACGGGAUAUUCUGGGUCUGUCGCAUGAUGGGUCUGGGAAAGAUUGCGCCUUUGGGUGUUUUUGGUGGGGGAUGGGCUCGCGGCCUAUCAGCUUGUUGGUGGGGUGAUGGCCUACCAAGGCGGUGACGGGUAGCCGGCCUGAGAGGGGGGACGGUCACACUGGGACUGAGACACGGCCCAGACUCCUACGGGAGGCAGCAGUGGGGAAUAUUGCACAAUGGGCGCAAGCCUGAUGCAGCGACGCCGCGUGAGGGAUGGAGGCCUUCGGGUUGUAAACCUCUUUCGCCAGUGAAGCAGGCCUGCUCCUUGUGGGUGGGUUGACGGUAGCUGGAUAAGAAGCGCCGGCUAACUACGUG